rnacentral:rRNA from 1 species
AUGUUUUCCUCUCGGUCUCGUGCUCGCACCGUCAAUAUCAGGAUGGCCAUGGCCAACAUGCAAAAGGGAAACAUGUCUGCUGCAGACUAUUUCUCCAAGAUGAAGGCCCUUGCGGAUGAACUUGCAUCUGCAGGGAAGAGGAUUGACGAUGACGACCUGAUUUCUUAUCUAUUGGCAGGUCUGGACGUCGAAUACAAUCCAUUGGUGGCAUCGGUUCUUGGGAGACCCACAACAGAUCCAAUUACUCUCAAUGAAUUCUAUGCUCGGCUCCUUAGCUAUGACACACGCAUGGAUAUUCUCCACUCUGGGGGCGCCGGUGGCCCUGGAUUUCAAGUCAAUUUUGCUCGCCGAGGACGUGGCGGGUUUGGACAGCGUGGUCGUGCAGGAGGGCGUGCAGGAGGCCGUGGUGGUCGUACUGCACACCGCGGUGCAGGAGGCCGCGGAGGAGGCCGCGGUGGCUACGGUCGUGGCUAUCAGGGAGAAUCCACUGUGAUUUGUCAAGUCUGCUCCAAGCCCAAUCAUAGUGCCCAAGAUUGCUGGUACCGGUUUGAUCCUGACUACGUACCUGAUGAAACUCGUCAAGUUGGUUCUGCAAUAACGUCUUAUGGGAUUGACACAAACUGGUACCUUGACUCCGGAGCCAGGGGAGCUCGACAAAUUAACUACUCGAGAACGAUACAACGGCCACGACAAGGUUCAUACCACAAACGGAGCAGGUAUGGAAAUUAG